rnacentral:lncRNA from 1 species
CUGCAAACAAGAGAGGUGUCUCCGUUUGCCCAGGCGGUCCUGGCGCUGGAGAGGAAGGCCGGAGCCGUGUCCUCCACGAUGCUGUCCCCACACAGUGACCUCGCUUGACUCCCGUGGGAUUGAGCAAAGGAGGGACCCGGGAGGCGCCCUCCUGCAUGGGAAGGGGUGAGCCCGGCUGUGCGUGCGAGGGGCUCUGCUGGCGUCGGCUGGAGCGUUUUGACCCGCGAGUCUCUCCAAAGAGCCAAACAAUGCCGGCUGUUCCUGGCAAGGCCGGGCCUGGCUUACUCAGAUUCGUGUUUUAGGAGAGGUGCUUUGGGGUAACAGAACUGGCUCCAUUUCCACCAUGACCACAUCAGCCCUGGUUUCCGCUGUGCAAAAACAAAAUUCUCAAAAAUGUUACCAUACCAAAUCAUAUGCGGCUUUUGUUUUAUAAACAUCUUUUUUUUUUUAAAAAAGUCUGUGGAAACUGUGAUAAAGACCCAUACCCUAUCCAGUUGUUUUCCAGCGAGCCAACUCAACUUGGGAGACGCUAUCUCAGCAUGAGGUCCCGGUCUUCUUCUCGAUACUUUGACUCCAUGUGGUCCAGGGUGUAGCCGUGGAUCCUCAGCCCCUCGUCUUGGAACCAUGGGCUUCUUUCUGCUUCUGAAGGAGGAUGUUUCAGAAGGACUCACGGAGCACCAGUGACCUUGACCGCCAGUCAAGGGCAUGUUCUCUUGAGGAUCUCAGUUCGGCAGGAGAAGGGAGAGACGCCCCUGUAAAGAAUGCCAUGCAUGGAGGGCCCACAUUAGUUGGGAAGGAAGAAAAAAGCCUAUGGAAUCUGCAGCUGAUGCUGCCAAGUUUCUCAGUGAAACAGAAGGCAGGACCAUCUUAAUAACCAUCUUACUGGUUGGGUGUGGGCUUCACGGUGUCUGGGCAGCUAGGUCUCAGCUGGCUGUGUUCAGCCAAAGUAACCACAGACCUCUCCUCGGCCUGCUGAGGAUGGCUGUUGCAUCAGACGGGGUCUAGUUAGGAAAAUGGAAACCAAGCUAGGUAUUUCAAACAGAAGGGACUUAAUUCGGAGAAUUUGUUACAGAGAUGAUGGGAAGUUGAGGGGGCAAAAAAGGGGGAAGCGGAAGUAGCCCAAGUAUUCGUAACUGCAGAAAGCAGCUGGGAGCCAAAUUAGGGGAACAAGUGAGAAGAGAGAGGGUUAGAAGAGGCCCUGCCUACCUGCUGCUGAUCAGACCUCCAGGAGGAUGUGGCUGGCUGGUGUUGGCACAUCUAUGAGAGAACAGCACACUGGAGUGCCACAUGAAACCGGGGGCUAAAGCCAUCGCUCUUUGUGGCUGUUCCUGCUGUAGUGAGGCCAACACUAGAAAUAGAAAAGGCCCCUUCUACUUAAUUCUGUCUUCCAAUCUCCCUCUGGUUCUUCCCAUUGCCAGUCCAUCAGCUAAUAGGAAACCAACUGGCAAAAGUUUCUGAGAAGCACAGCUUACAGACCCUGACCCCAGCAGCACAGAGCAGAACAUAGAGGGGACGGUUUGGGAGUUGAAAGACAAGAGACAACCAUAUCAGAGGAAAUGGGUAAUGGGGGGAGAGGGGGCUGAAACUUUUGGCCUCAAAAAAGAGUCUGGCCCACUGGAGGGCCAAUACGUGUUGGUGCUUGUACCUCUGGCAGGAAUGAGGGAUUCCUCUGGUAGGAAAAGACCGGGCAUUUCUUUUCCUCUUUGUUGGCUAUCACUGGCAGUUGCUGAGAUGCCACAGAGCCUGAUGACAGUGAGAAGAUAGCAUUGGCACAUCUGGCUGGUGCCACCUGGGGUCCUAGAACCUGUAUUGUCUAUGCAAAGGAGUUCUGGCAGCCACCAGUCUCUUCCUCAAGGUCAAUAUUUUCCUAGGUAGAGGAGAUCCCUACCUCAUGGUCAAUAUUUUCCUGGGUAAAUGGCUCAAGCGGGUUAAGGAUCUGGCGUCAUUGCUGCUGUGGCUCUGGUUACACUGUGGCCUACGCUGUGGUUUGGUUUCAAUCCCUGGCCCCGGGAAUUUCCACAUGCCGUGGGUGUGGUAAAAAACAAAAAAUUAGAGGAGAAUAAAUUGCAAGGCAUGUUUGGAAGAUGGUCA